UUUAAAUGGCCGCAGUAUAUUAACUGUGCAAAGGUAGCAUAAUCAUUAGUCUUUUAAUUGAAGGCUGGUAUGAAUGGUUGGACGAAAUAUUAACUGUUUCAUAUAAAUUUUUAAUAAAACUUUAUUUUUUAGUUAAAAAGCUAAAAUUUAUUUAAAAGACGAGAAGACCCUAUAAAUCUUUAUAUUUAAAUUAUUGUAAUUUUAUAGAUUAUUUUUAUUAUGAUAAUAAUAAUAUUUUAUUGGGGUGAUAUUAAAAUUUAAUAAACUUUUAAUUUUAUGAUAUCAUUAAUUUAUGAUUUAUUGAUCCGUUAUUAACGAUUAAAAAAAUAAGUUACUUUAGGGAUAACAGCGUAAUUUUUUUGGAGAGUUCUUAUCGAUAAAAAAGAUUGCGACCUCGAUGUUGGAUUAAGAUAUAAUUUUAGGUGUAGUAGCUUAAAUUUUAAGUCUGUUCGACUUUUAA
rnacentral:rRNA from 1 species